rnacentral:rRNA from 1 species
AUUGAAUGGCCCUCUUGGGCCUUCUACCCUUCAAACCUGUGGAAGCAAGAUGUGCUUCGGCGCCCCCAUGGGCGUCGCCUUCAUGCCGAUGGCUUGUCUGUCUGAUAUGGCCAUAACAAACAAAACUUUCAACAAAGGAUCUCUUGGCUCUUGCAUCGAUGAAGAACGCAGCGAAGCGCGAAAUGUAAUGUGAAUUGCAGAACAUUGUGAAUCAUCGAAUCUUUGAACGCACAUUGCGCCUCUUGUAACCGAGAGGCAUGCCUGUCUGAGCGUCAUUUAAACCUCUAGAUCCUUUUGGGUCUGUCCUGGGCCUCGCUCCAGCCGCGUCGCCUCAAAGUCAUUCUGUCAGUAAGCGGAUGAGAUCCACUAGGACCGACCGUUCACGACGACCAGAACUCCUUAGAAUUGACCUCAGAUCAGGUAGGACUACCGCCUGAACUUAAGCAUAUCAAUAAGGCGAGGAACAGAAAC